UACGUAGGGGGCUAGCGUUGUCCGGCAUCAUUGGGCGUAAAGCGCGCGUAGGCGGCCCGGUAAGUCCGCUGUGAAAGUCCAGGGCUCAACCCUGGAAAGCCGGUGGAUACUGUCGGGCUCGAGUCCGGAAGAGGCGAGUGGAAUUCCUGGUGUAGCGGUGGAAUGCGCAGAUAUCAGGAGGAACACCUGCGGCGAAGGCGGGUGGCUGGGCCGACACUGACGCUGAGGCGCGAAAGCUAGGGGAGCGAACGGG
rnacentral:rRNA from 1 species